rnacentral:lncRNA from 1 species
UCCUGUUCCUUAUUUACCAUUUCAUGCACUUCAACAAUUCUUUCUCCUAGAUAUAGCAUCAAUAAAGCUCAAGAGAGAAUUAAUUCGGCUCAAAAUGGCAUUCAAGGGGUUAUUUUCUCAUCAAACAACAAAGAAGAAUCUGGGGCCCUAAGUCAAAGAAUCAUGCCCAAAUCAUACAAGUCAUGUACUAGCAAAAAUGAGUCCUCAAACAAAGUCAAGAUUUCCUAGUCACAGCAAAUUCUCUCAUAGACAUGCAUUCUUUUCAAUUUGGCCUUGAUCUCACCGGUGGGGUAUUUUCAGUAUCCUCACAACUACCAUCAUGCAUUUCAUACUCAAUCCACCAACCAUACCAAGACAGAAAUCAGCAUGCACAAUCUUUCACCAUCGACCAAUGCAAGUAGACUCGACCCAAGAACAGAUAAAACAGACGCUAAAACAAGAAAAAGCAAAAGAUAAAAUAAAAUCCUAAUCUACGAGUUCAGGGGAAAGUACUUAGUCAUUUUGGUCGGAGGAUCUCACCUCCGCAGCCAUCAUCUCUUUGAUUUCCUUAAAGCAAGCUUCCAUCG